rnacentral:rRNA from 3 species
UUGGAGGGCAAGUCUGGUGCCAGCAGCCGCGGUAAUUCCAGCUCCAAUAGCGUAUAUUAAAGUUGUUGCAGUUAAAAAGCUCGUAGUUGAAUUUCGGGAUUGGCGCAUCGGUCGUGCCUCACGGGGUAUGAACUGGUGCAGUCAAUUUCUCACCUUCUGGAGAACCGCGAUGUCCUUAAUUGGAUGCCGCGGGGAACCAGGACCUUUACUUUGAAAAAAUUAGAGUGUUUAAAGCAGGCAUUUUUGCUUGAAUACAUUAGCAUGGAAUAAUAAAAUAGGACGGCAUGGUUCUAUUUUGUUGGUUUCUAGGACCACCGUAAUGAUUAAUAGGGAUAGUUGGGGGCAUUAGUAUUCAAUUGUCAGAGGUGAAAUUCUUGGAUUUAUUGAAGACUAACUACUGCGAAAGCAUUUGCCAAGGAUGUUUUCAUUAAUCAAGAACGAAAGUUAGGGGAUCGAAGACGAUCAGAUACCGUCGUAGUCUUAACCAUAAACUAUGCCGACUAGGAAUCAGACGAUGUUAAUUUUUUAAUGACUCGUUUGGCACCUUACGGGAAACCAAAGUGUUUGGGUUC